GACCGCGUAGCUCAGUUGGCAGAGCGUUGGGCUAGUAUUCGAAAUGUCGUAGGUUCGAUUCCCACCGUGGCCA
rnacentral:tRNA from 1 species